rnacentral:rRNA from 1 species
AAUGGGCGCAAGCCUGAUCCAGCCAUACCGCGUGUGUGAAGAAGGCCCUAGGGUUGUAAAGCACUUUAAGUUGGGAAGAAAAGUUAUUGGUUAAUACCCAAUAACCGUGACAUUACCUUCAGAAUAAGGACCGGCUAAUUCCGUGCCAGCAGCCGCGGUAAUACGGAAGGUCCAAGCGUUAAUCGGAAUUACUGGGCGUAAAGCGCGCGUAGGUGGUUUAUUAAGUUGGAUGUGAAAUCCCUGGGCUCAACCUGGGAACUGCAUCCAAAACUGAUUCACUAGAGUACGAUAGAGGGAGGUAGAAUUCACAGUGUAGCGGUGGAAUGCGUAGAUAUUGUGAAGAAUACCAAUGGCGAAGGCAGCCUCCUGGAUCUGUACUGACACUAAGGUGCGAAAGCGUGGGUAGCGAACAGGAUU